UGGGGAAUCUUGGUCAGUGGGCGAAAGCCUGACGCAGCAACGCCGCGUGAGGGAUGAAGGCCUUCGGGUUGUAAACCUCUUUUCUCAGGGACGAUGAUGACGGUACCUGAGGAAUAAGCCACGGCUAACUACGUGCCAGCAGCCGCGGUAAUACGUAGGUGGCGAGCGUUGUCCGGAUUUACUGGGCGUAAAGAGCGCGCAGGCGGUCGGUCAAGUCGAGUGUGAAAGCCCCCGGCUCAACUGGGGAGGGUCAUUCGAUACUGAUCGACUCGAAGGCAGGAGAGGGAAGUGGAAUUCCCGGUGUAGUGGUGAAAUGCGUAGAUAUCGGGAGGAACACCAGUGGCGAAGGCGACUUCCUGGCCUGUUUCUUGACGCUGAGGCGCGAAAGCUAGGGGAGCGA
rnacentral:rRNA from 1 species